rnacentral:misc_RNA from 1 species
GACGAACCGUACGAACGUUAUUCGGAAUUACUGGGCUUAAAGGGUUUGUAGGCGGCCUUGUAAGUCAGGUGUGAAAUCCCUCGGCUCAACCGAGGAAUGGCGCUUGAUACUGCGAGGCUUGAGGGAGACAGGGGUAAGCGGAACUGAUGGUGGAGCGGUGAAAUGCGUUGAUAUCAUCAGGAACACCGGUGGCGAAAGCGGCUUACUGGGUCUCUUCUGACGCUGAGGAACGAAAGCUAGGGUAGCGAACGGG